CCUACGGGUGGCAGCAGUCGAGAAUCAUUCACAAUGGGGGAAACCCUGAUGGUGCGACGCCGCGUGGGGGAAUGAAGGUCUUCGGAUUGUAAACCCCUGUCAUGUGGGAGCAAAUUAAAAAGAUAGUACCACAAGAGGAAGAGACGGCUAACUCUGUGCCAGCAGCCGCGGUAAUACAGAGGUCUCAAGCGUUGUUCGGAAUCACUGGGCGUAAAGCGUGCGUAGGCUGUUUCGUAAGUCGUGUGUGAAGGGCGCGGGCUCAACCGGCGGACGGCACAUGAUACUGGGAGACGAGAGGAAUGGAGGGGGAACCGGAAUUCUCGGUGUAGCAGUGAAAUGCGUAGAUAUCGAGAGGAACACUCGUGGCGAAGGCGGGUUCCUGGACAUUAACUGACGCUGAGGCACGAAGGCCAGGGGAGCGAAAGGGAUUAGAUACCCGAGUAGUC
rnacentral:rRNA from 1 species